rnacentral:tRNA from 1 species
CGGGAAGAGUGUGGGGGUGUAUGAUUCUGCCUUGGGAGCAGGGGGUCGCUGGUUCGAAUCCAGUCGUUCCGACCA